GCUUGUCUCAAAGAUUAAGCCAUGCACGUCUGAGAAUAAAGAGUUUUCUCUGAAUCUGCGAAUGGCUCAUUAUAUCAGUUAUAGUUUAUUUGAUAGUCCUUUACUACUUGGAUAACCGUAGUAAUUCUAGAGCUAAUACAUGACUAAAAGGGCUAGCCCUGCAUUUAUUAGAUACAACCAACCCUUCGGGUUUUGGCGAAUCAUAAUAACUGAGCGGACCGUAUUCGUACGGCGUUUCUUAUUAAUUUCUGCCCUAUCAGCUUUCGAUGGUAGGGUAUUGGCCUACCAUGGCGUUAACGGGUAACGGAGAAUUAGGGUUCGAUUCCGGAGAGGGAGCCUGAGAGAUGGCUACCACAUCCAAGGAAGGCAGCAGG
rnacentral:rRNA from 1 species